rnacentral:tRNA from 1 species
UCCCUGGUGGCUCAGACGGUAAAGCGUCUGCCUGCAAUGCGGGAGACCCGGGUUUGAUCCCUGGGUCGGGAA